UUAUAGGAUGGAUACAUGGGCCUCUAGAUGGGCCUCUCUAUACAUGGGCUCACAUAUACACCAACAGUUAAGAUGAUGGCUUGACUGUUUGGCUAUGGCCAGCACACCAGAUUAUGUUAUAAUUCCAUUUUCGUCGAGAAAUGUUCUAAUUUCAUUAGCAGAAUAAUAUAACCACAUAAUUGUGAAGUAUUCUGGACAUAAUUACAUACUCCACCAAGAUUUGUGAAGUAGUUAUGAAAACUGGCUAGCGCGUGAAAUCUUGUCAGGAAGAUAUACAUGUAUGUUAUUUCACGGAACAUGCCACAUGUAUUUGCAACUGAAUUUUCUUCUAUGAAUAAGGAUCGCAAAGUAGAGAGAGAAAAAGACGAUGAUGAUACGCAUGACAUAAACAUUAUACUCUGACGGUAUUUGAAUCAGUGAGCAUAGCACAAUCAAUAUUUUGCAACUACCCUGCCAAAUUUGAAUCAAAUGACCCAGAAAUGCCGACAUGUCUUGGCCUUCCAAGUUACCAUCAGACCAUAGUAUCUGAUAGUAAUUGGAAACAAAUAGUAUCUGAUAGUUUUAUCGAUUGUGAAAUAAUUUUUUCUUCCUUUCUUUUUGAGAAACAGAAAACUGGGGAGCUCCAUGUGAGAUGUUCUAAUAAGUUGAAGAAGGUCAAAUUGAUAGCUACGUUUUUCUUGUACAUAAUUUUAACUUUUUGUUGCUAGCCUGAACAAUUAUUGUUUUGCAUUUACAUAGCCAGUGAUUACAGCUGUCCUGCUUUCUGGUUCCAACUAUGACAGUUAUCACUGUUUUAUUGUUGUUUGCUCUUAACCUGAAUUAUACAGCUCUCCUUUUAUGUUUGAACAGUUAAAGUUGUCAUUGUCUUCUUGUUUGCUUUAGUUAAUGUGGCCAAGUUCUUAUGCAUUUUUCAACUUAUAGCAUCUAAUUGCUUUUAAACAGAAUGCUUUAUCACUGAUGUGGGGUGUGUUUCCAUUGGUUCUCCUCCCUCUUCCUUCAGGUCACAACAAUACACAGGAUGAGGGGUCUGUUUCCAUUGCUGAUCUGGCCAUUUUUCCUUGAUGACUAUUUGUCAUGACUAUCUACCUUCUUGGCUUAUGAUGAUGAUUUGGUUAAUUGUAAUAUUCAUAUUCUUUGGCAUCAUUGAGUCUGUGCAUAGAUUAAGAUGAUGGCUUUUUCAGUACCACACGUUUGCCUACAAGUUCAUAUGGUAUUUGAUUGCUCAUAUUGCAGAAGCCCCAGAUUUGAUCUGCAUGUACUAUGUCAAGCUCCGUGAAGCAUAUGAUAUGGAAGGCAAGGACCCUAACAUCAUGAAGAUCUUGAUGAGAAAUGCAUCAGCUCCAGACCCAGUCACCCAGGAUACUUGGGGCACUAAACUUUGAUGAAGCUGCUGCCAGACUACAAGAGCAUUUUGUGUCUGAAAUUACCUGCUGUUGGGUUGAUUUCAAGUAUCAACAGUGGCAGUUGGCACCAUCCUGUUUGCUUUCUUCUGGAAUUUUCAAAAGUCUUUAAUGUUUUGUUUAGCUUCUAGAUUAUAAAUGUUCUGAGGUGGCAUACUAUCCCCAAAACCUGAAUUCUACCAAGGCUACAGCUUAACUGGCAUAAGGGCUUAAUACUGCUUGUGGUUGGCCCAUUAAGAUGGACAUAUGGGUAUACACUAUGUAGAGGAUCUCCUGCACGUGCCAUUUACAAUGCAGGACAAUGGCCUGGUCAUCACAUGCCCCCCUUCCCUAUUGGCAGCUCUCCUGCUUUCAGGUUGCAACAGUGAUAGUAGUCACCACCUCUUGCUUUAUUCAUAAUGUGGUCCAUGUGGACAAGUUCAUGAUAACCUUGACGUCCGUACCCUGCCUACAACUAAAAUGCAUAAGCACUACUACACGCAAUGCGUGAACCCUGCCUAACAUUGAGCUGCAUAACAGCAUAAAGGGAUUUAUACCGGUCGCCUUUUAUAAAUGGAUAAACAGAGUAUCUCCUCAGGCACGUGUUUUAAACUGACAGUACAGCUGUACAGGACAGGCCUGAAGUUAACACGGGCCCCACUGUCAAUGGCAUAAUGCAGAAAGCAUUACUGGUCUAUAUAUACACCUUAAAGCCAAUGGAGUUUGUUGAGCAAUCCAGUGUUGUUGUUUGAGAGAUAUCUGGAGGGUUGCAAGACCUAUAAUCCUGUAGAGUGAGAUGGGAAGAGGAAGAAAGAGGGCUCAAGAGCAGUGGGAAUGGGAACAUAGAGGAAAGCCCAACCUGUUUGUUUUCUCCUCCAGAAAUGGGAGGUGGAAGCUUUUGUUUGGUGUUUCCCGGUGCCUCCCAUUCCUAUCGUUCUUAAGCACUCCUUCCUCUUCCUUUUGGCUCGCAAUACAACGUGAUUUAUUUACAUAAUUUGAGCUUGAAGGUGAGGUGGAAGAGGAAUAAAAGAGGGCCUAAGAGCAGUAGGAAUGGGAACAUGGAGGAAGGCUUUUUUUUUAAGUCUUCCUGAUGCCUCCCAUUCCUAUUGUUCUUAGGUGCUCAUUCCUCUUCCUUUUUGGCACACUACGCAGUUGAUAAAUGUGCGCUUUCAGUUGACCAUUUUUGCUUGAUGUUUUCUCUCUUUGGUAUACCUCAAUCCACGCAUAGUUUCGUACGUAUGGUAGGUUUGUUAAUCGGAAUGUUUGAUUCUUUGGCAUGUCUAGCCCAUGAAUAGUUUAAGGGGACGGCUUAGCCAGCUAUCCCACUGGUUUAAGUUUUAGGUUCCACUAGCACGUUGAUAUAGCUGAUCAAGUAGUGAUUAUUUUGGA